GGGAAUCGGGCAAGCUUACACGUGCAAGUCGAGGGGUAACAUUGUGCUUGCACAGAUGACGACCGGCGCACGGGUGCGUAACGCGUAUAGAACCUACCUUUUACAGGGGAAUAGCCUUUAGAAAUGAAGAUUAAUGCCCCAUAGUAUUAAGACUUGGCAUCAGGUUUUAAUUAAAGAUUUAUCGGUAAAAGAUGGCUAUGCGUCCUAUUAGUUAGUUGGUAAGGUAACGGCUUACCAAGACAGCGAUAGGUAGGGGUCCUGAGAGGGAGAUCCCCCACACUGGUACUGAGACACGGACCAGACUCCUACGGGAGGCAGCAGUGAGGAAUAUUGGACAAUGGAGGCGACUCUGAUCCAGCCAUGCCGCGUGUAGGAAGAAUGCCCUAUGGGUUGUAAACUACUUUUAUACAGGAAGAAACACUGGUAUGUAUACCAGCUUGACGGUACUGUAAGAAUAAGGACCGGCUAACUCCGUGCCAGCAGCCGCGGUAAC
rnacentral:rRNA from 1 species